AUUGAACGCUGGCGGCAGGCCUAACACAUGCAAGUCGAACGGGUGGCGGACGGGUUAGUAAUGUCUGGGAAAGUUACUGAUGGAGGGGGAUAACUACUGGAAACGGUAGCUAAUACCGCAUACCAUCGGAUGUGCCCAGAUGGGAUUAGCUAGUAGGUGGGGUAAAGGCUCACCUAGGCGACGAUCCCUAGCUGGUCUGAGAGGAUGACCAGCCACACUGGAACUGAGACACGGUCCAGACUCCUACGGGAGGCAGCAGUGGGGAAUAUUGCACAAUGGGCGCAAGCCUGAUACAGCCAUGCCGCGUGUAUGAAGAAGGCCUUCGGGUUGUAAAGUACUUUCAGCGGGGAGGCGUUACCCGCAGAAGAAGCACCGGCUAACUCCGUGCCAGCAGCCGCGGUAAUAC
rnacentral:rRNA from 1 species